rnacentral:rRNA from 1 species
GACGAACGCUGGCGGCGUGCCUAAUACAUGCAAGUAGAACGCACAGUUUAUACCGUAGCUUGCUACACCAUAGACUGUGAGUUGCGAACGGGUGAGUAACGCGUAGGUAACCUGCCUGGUAGCGGGGGAUAACUAUUGGAAACGAUAGCUAAUACCGCAUAAUAUUGAUUAUUGCAUGAUAAUUGAUUGAAAGAUGCUAUUGCAUCACUACCAGAUGGACCUGCGUUCUAUUAGCUAGUAGGUGAGGUAACGGCUCACCUAGGCGACGAUACAUAGCCGACCUGAGAGGGUGAUCGGCCACACUGGGACUGAGACACGGCCCAGACUCCUACGGGAGGCAGCAGUAGGGAAUCUUCGGCAAUGGACGAAAGUCUGACCGAGCAACGCCGCGUGAGUGAAGAAGGGUGUCGGAUCGUAAAGCUCUGUUGUAAGAGAAGAACGGGUGUGAGAGUGGAAAGUUCACACUGUGACGGUAUCUUACCAGAAAGGGACGGCUAACUACGUG